UGGCGAACGGGUGAGUAACACGUGAGUAACCUGCCCUUGACUUUGGGAUAACUUCAGGAAACUGGGGCUAAUACCAGAUAGGAGCUCCUGCUGCAUGGUGGGGGUUGGAAAGUUUCGGCGGUUGGGGAUGGACUCGCGGCUUAUCAGCUUGUUGGUGGGGUAGUGGCUUACCAAGGCUUUGACGGGUAGCCGGCCUGAGAGGGUGACCGGCCACAUUGGGACUGAGAUACGGCCCAG
rnacentral:rRNA from 1 species